GGGCCCAUAGCUUAAGGGUAAAGCAACCGACUCAUAAUCGGCAGAUUGAAGGUUCGAAACCGUCUGGGCCCACCA
rnacentral:tRNA from 1 species